UACGAAGGGGCUAGCGUUGCUCGGAAUCACUGGGCGUAAAGGGCGCGUAGGCGGGAAUGUAAGUCGGGCGUGAAAUCCCCAGGCUCAACCUGGGAACUGCACUCGAAACUGCGUUUCUUGAGUAUCGGAGAGGAAAGCGGAAUUCCUGGUGUAGAGGUAGAAAUUCGUAGAUAUCAGGAGGAACACCAGUGGCGAAGGCGCUUUCUGGACGGUAACUGACGCUGAGGCGCGAAAGCGUGGGGAGCAAACAGG
rnacentral:rRNA from 1 species